GAGGAAAAGAAACCAACAGGGAUUACCUCAGUAACGGCGAGUGAAGCGGUAACAGCUCAAAUUUGAAAUCUGGCGCAAGCCCGAGUUGUAAUUUGUAGAGGAUGUUUCGGGCACCGCCGCGGUGUAAAUUUCUUGGAACAGAAUGUCAGAGAGGGUGAGAAUCCCGUCUUCGACCGCGGUAGGACCCAUGUGAAACUCCUUCGACGAGUCGAGUUGUUU
rnacentral:rRNA from 1 species